UCUUCCUUUCCUUCAUCCCCUCACUAGAUCGCGCCGUCGCUGCCGGCCUGCCGCUACCAGCACCGGCCGCCUCCACCGCCGAUUCGCACUGCGACAGCGCCACACGGACUACGUCCUACUCUCCUCCUCCGAUCAUCCACCACCGGCUCGCUGUUCUACCUCGCCGGCGGCGCUGCGGCUAACCCUAGCCGCCCCUGUCUGACGCGUGGCGGCGCCAGCGGCCUCCCGUGCUCCUUGGCUCGGCCUUCAUCGCCUUCUUCCACGCCUCCUGCGCGGAUUCGCCUCCUCUGGUUCAGAGAUUCCAGGCGGUGAUGACGAUGACGAUGGUCGACAUCCUACAUGGCUUGCGGGACAGGAAGGGAGGGGAGCCAGCAUACGUUGUUCAUGCUCAGACUCGGUGGCGUGUUUGAGCUCCUGCAUUGUUUUGCUGCGGUGAGAAUUUUUCCUAGCUCUAACACCUAUCAAUUUCGUGGCUUCUUAUGGUUCAGAAGAAUAUAUACUCCCUCCAUUCCUAAAUAUAAGUCCUUGUAGAGAUUUCACUAUGGACUACAUACAGAACAAAAUGAGUGAAUCUACACUCUAAAAUGCAUCUACAUACAUCCGUAUGUGGUGCAUAGUGGAAUCUCUCCAAAGACUUAUAUUUAGGAAUGGAGGGAGUAUAUGUGAACAUGGACCAUUGCAAGAGUACCAUAUUCGUUUAUGGUCGAAGCAUUUUGAUUGUCGACUAUUACCCCCAAUAGGUUGCAGGUACACAAAUGAGGUUGCUCUGAUGCAUUCUGUCAACAUGUCAAUGCUACCGAAUGUAUUAGUAUUAAUCUGUUUGGACUUUCUUUGGUAUUGGAUCUAUGGUUUGUGUUGAUUAGGAAUAGCUUUCUUAUUGAUGGAUCAGACAAUCAAAGUAAUAUGCCAUCCUAUGAUAUGGAAAUCAAAACGAUAGGGUUUUGUAAAGUUCUCUAAAUGAAGUAUAUGCGGUGUUGUAGAAAAUGAGAUGUGAAGUAACUAAGUAAGGCAGAUCUGAAGAAUGUAAUAACUUGUUGCUGCUACUCUGCAAGCUACUCGAGAAGGAGCUGAAGGGUGUAUGCUACCUCCAUGUGCUCUACGUGUUUGCCAAUGACACGGUGUGGUGGCAUCACAGAGAAGAAAUGUGGAAGGGGAAGGAUUAUCCAAUGAAGGGUGCAAAGUGAAGACAGAGAACCAUGUCGCCAUUUCAGACUUCAAGCUCCGCAAUAUCGCAUCGCUGCUACAGGGGACAGACCUCAAGAGAUCACCGAGCCUACCCAAAAAGGACGCCUGUGUCACCAUCAACACCCUCUUCUACCCGUUCAUGAAGAACCAACAGCAAGGUCAUCAUUGCUAAACCCCUUCAGGGUCACCCGGAACCUCCUCAGAUUGGGAAGGUAGAGUAACUGUACUUGAGGACUUCCUUCGUCAUGAUAUAAAAGCGGACAACUUCCUUGUGGUCUUAGGCCGUAAAGCCAGUCAGGUUUCUGCCAUUCAUGCACAUUUACAGGUACAACUGAUUUAUCACUUAUUUUCACUUAUCGACCUUUAGUGAAGGAAAGUUUAGAUCUGCAUGAAGAAUGCUUUUCAAUCAUCUACUUAACAAAAUGUAAAUCUGUUACAGGUAAAAUAAAUGGAUGCUAUAUAUAAGUCUCAAAGCUUUCAGUUAUUUUAUAUCUAAAUCCAUAUCUUAACAAUUAAUUUAAUGUUAUAAGUAAAAUAAGUGCUAAUGUAUUUAAUUUCAGAGGGAUGCCAAGGUAGCAACUAAGUGGCAGAUUAUUUUCAGCAUAAGGAUAUCAUUCUAGAGUCUUUCAGUUGCAAACUAGAUUAAUAUUUCAUUGACCUCUAAGUAGUUUUCCCAUGUCCUUUCAAUACUGGUCAUGUGCUAUUCUCCUGUAUUUUUCUUCCUAUCUACUGCAUAUUUAAUUGACUAGAAGCAAUCCAGUGUCAUAUGUAGGAGUCAAGAAACUAUCAACUUCAGUAUACUGGACACUACCAACAUGUCAACUUUAAGCUGCAUUAUAUAUUAGCGUCCAUAUUUUACUUCUGCUCAUUGUGUGGAUUAUCUUUCUCUAAAUUAUGUGAACCAAUUUAGUACAUUGUGUUAUUGCCUGAAGGCAAUACAUCAGGUAUGCCUGAAGGCAAUACAUGAGGUAGUACAGGGGCAUCAUCUAUUUCUCUCAUUGUGAUGCCAAGUUAUCUCGCACGUGAUCAAAUCUGAAAAGCUGACCUCAGGCCCGAAAAUGAAUUGUCGUUUCUCCGAGUAGUUGCAGAAAGGAUAAGCCUGCUCCUGAAUGUCGUGAUAUAGAACAGUCAAUUGUGCUUGAUGUGAAAACAGUUGUUGGGAUACAGUUUUAUUCUGGGUAUCCUCAGUUUAUUGUACACCUACAAAAGGGAUGUAUACCUGAGUGUAAUGCUUCUCAGCUGGGGGUUGUAGAAUGUCUAUUUGUUCGAUGCAAAAUUAAAAAAAUGUCUAUUUGUUAGACGAAAAUGAAGAAUUUCUUGCGGGUCAUCAACAAUUUUAGAAUGCAUUGAUAUUGUUUAGUUAA